rnacentral:lncRNA from 1 species
UAGGCACAUCAUAUUCAACAAGUCAUAACAUCUUCAUUUAACAUUAGACAUAAGACCAACAUACUUCAUAACAUCAUAUAAGGACUCAUUCCUUUACUACAUCAUUAGUCAUAACCCAUUUAGUUCAUAUCAUAGGUAAACCACCCUCACAACCCCUUCACAAGCUCACUUGUGCAAUGUACACAUAGAGUCCCAUACCCCCACAUAUACUAAGCAAACCCAUUAAGAAGUCAUAAGUGUAAUUCACAUGCAUAAACAUACUUCAUGUCUUGACAUAAGUAAAGUCAACCUUAACAU